GAGUUUGAUCAUGGCUCAGGACGAACGCUGGCGGCGUGCUUAAUACAUGCAAGUCGAGCGAGGUUACUGCGACAGAUCCCUUCGGGGUGAAGUUGCUUUAGCCUAGCGGCGGACGGGUGGGUAACGCGUGGGUAACCUACCCUAAAGUUCGGGAUAACAGCGGGAAACCGCUGCUAAUACCGGAUGCCUUUACCGUGUGGCAUCACAGGGUAAAGAAAGGUAACGCUUUAGGAUGGGCCCGCGUCCCAUUAGCUAGUUGGUGAGGUAACAGCUCACCAAGGCGACGAUGGGUAGCCGGCCUGAGAGGGUGGACGGCCACACUGGGACUGAGACACGGCCCAGACUCCUACGGGAGGCAGCAGUAGGGAAUAUUGCGCAAUGGACGGAAGUCUGACGCAGCGACGCCGCGUGAGCGAUGAAGGCCUUCGGGUUGUAAAGCUCUGU
rnacentral:rRNA from 1 species